rnacentral:tRNA from 1 species
AGAGAAAAAUUAUUAUGAUAUUUUUAUUUGCAAAAUAAAAGAAUAUUUCAAUU